AUGACUAUUAAUAUAUAUGAUGAUGAUUUUUUAAAUUAAGUAGGUAUUUGUUCCGUAUUAACUAUUGACUUUCACUGUAUGACAUAUCGAAGAUACCAAACAGCCGCAAUUUGGUCACCCUGGGUUUAGAAGUUGCUUUAGUUAUUAUUGUUAGCGUAAAACUAUCUGUUCUCAAUCUCACUACACGAAUCUUUAGCAUUUUCAUCAUGAAGUCAUCUAUGCUUUGUUUAAUGUGGAUUUCAGUUAUUGUUCAGACUUUAUCGUGAUGCCUUUACUAUAGCGUGUUUAAUGUUAAAUCGUGCUUCCAUAUAUCGAUGUUUCUGUGAUGCCAAUUGUCCUUUCGUAUCUUUAUAUAACCGUAGACCUGAUAAGAAUCGACCUUUCUGUAAUUCCAAUGGUCUUGAAUUUAUUUUUCGCAUCGCUCCAGCGAGUUGCUCGCCCAUUUCCGGACCCAUGUUCAUUGGAGCUUUUCCAUGUUAUUUAACCUCCUGAAGUUAUGGCCAACUGUUAUGUUCGAUAAUUGUAUUAUACAGUACAUAAUCGCAUAAUAAAAUUUUGUAAGCAGGAUGGAUUUUAUAGGCUUAAAAACGAUUUUAAACAAGUGAUUCAUUAACGCGAUUUCUAACUGGCCGAGUCGAAAAAUAUGGAAAAUUAUUUCUAAACAAUGCACAUGUGUGGACUUUAAUAUUCAAUUGUGAACCUAAACGCAAAUUUACUCUUUUAACUUCUAUUUAAUUGGAUGAAAUUAACUAUUGUGGCUAACAAUUGCCAUUUAUUCGGUCAGUGAAAGAGAAGGAGACGAUAAGCUUCCUUAUCUUCUUCCCUUGACCUACAUCGAAUCGCAAGUUCAACGAAAUAUAAACAUAAAACGAUGACCCAUAAACUUUUCCUUGUGAUUUGACAAUCAUUUCAUUUAAUGGAACGUAUACGGUCGUCCUUGUUCCGAAACAAUUCAUGCUUUCAAUGCAAAAAUCCGCCGGCGACAUAUUAAAAGUUAUCGAUGCUCUCUAUUCGGAUAACGCAAUAAUAAUAAUAAUGCAAUCGCGCGCGACAAAUCGCUAUUCGUGAUUUCUCGCACGCCAUACUAGCUGGAGUUAAAACAGUUACAAUUCAGCAUGCACACCUCCUUUAACUGUAGACAUAAUUAUAUGAAUUUCAUGGAUAAAUUCGAACUAAAUUUUCGCCUGG
rnacentral:lncRNA from 1 species